rnacentral:rRNA from 1 species
UGUUAACUGAAUUCAUAGGUUAAUAAGGCGAACCGAGGGAACUGAAACAUCUAAGUACCUCGAGGAAAAGAAAUCAAUUGAGAUUCUGCAAGUAGCGGCGAGCGAACGUGGAAAAGCCUUCACGAGCUAGUUAACAGAUUAGCCAAAAGUUCUGGAAAGGACUGCCCUAGAGGGUGAAAGCCCCGUCGGCGAAAAUGUGUUAAUGAGACUAAGCGUGAAAUCAAGUAGGGCGGGACACGAGAAAUCCUGUCUGAAGAUGGGGGGACCAUCCUCCAAGGCUAAAUACUCUCGACUGACCGAUAGUGAACCAGUACCGUGAGGGAAAGGCGAAAAGAACCCCGGAGAGGGGAGUGAAAUAGAACCUGAAACCGUCUGCGUACAAGCAGUAGGAG